UAUUGCUUUGGUGGAAAGUAAACUCACCUAGAUUCCCCAUUCUUGCUGAGAUGGCUCGGGAUGUAUUAUCUAUUCCUAUUUCAAGUGUUGCAUCUGAAUGUGCAUUUAGCACUGGAGGGCGUAUUCUUGAUUCAUUUAGGAGUUCAUUGACUCCUAAAUUGGUGGAAGUUCUCCUGUGCCUUCAAGAUUGGCUUCGAAGUGAGCCAUUACCUGUAAGUGUUGAGGAAGAUUUAGAUGUUCUCGAGCAACUAGAACAAGAUUUUGCCAAUCUUGGAAACGAACCCUGCGAUGAUGAUAUGUAGAAUCUUAGAUAGUUGUGUAACCAUGCCUCGACUUUGUGGUCUCAAAGCUAUCUCACAUGUUUGGAGUCACUAUGAAAGGAUUGAAGAAGGUGAUGAUGGAUGGUGGAAAGUAAGAUGUAGUUAUUGUCAUCUUGUUUUAUGUAUUAUGUUUGGACUUUGGACUUGUUA